GUGAUGACAACACAACAAGCGACCGGACGGGGCAUGGGCGCGCCCCUGCGGGCCCCGGACGUGGAGACGCUCGAGUCGGGCUGACGCGCGCGCCGGGAACGAACUCUUGCGUGUGACUUGGGAUGACCGCUUGGGAUGAGUGAUGCCAAUGGCACUGGGAGAGAGGAUGAGGAAAAGCGGAAUGAGGAAGUGCGCUCCUGUGUUAGCGCCCGUGCCUCCUCUCACACAGGCUCCACACUGCUGCACCCAGCCUUGCGCAUGCAUCUGUUUUCUACCUCUUAGGACUCACUUCUGCAAUAGGUGUCUUGGGGACACAAAGGAAGCCCCAAACCCAGGUGCCUCCACGUGUAAACUCCAAAUAAAGCUGCUGAAACAUCAACACUCCAUACGGGAAACAAGGGAAGGCCGCCCCCAAAUUUAAUUGUUACAGAAUUUUUAAAAUGUCGAUAACAAACACACCAUCAUUGUAAAAAAAAGAGAGAAGAAAAGGAAAGAAAGAAAAAAAAAUUCAGGAAAACAGAGAGAAGAAAGUAUUCACCCAAAUCCCAUCGACUAAUCGAUUUCUGGGACAUGACGUGGGAAGCCGUUUAUCCUAUGUUAAUGGCUAGUUACUCUUCAGAUGAACUUAAAAAUGGACCUGUCCAAGAUUGACCAUGUGUUGGUUCUCACUCUGUCACCCAGGCUGGAGUGCAGUGGCAGGAUCCCAGCUCACUGCAACCUCCACCUCCCAGGUUCAAGCGAUUCUUGUGCCUCAGCCUCCUGAGUAGCUGGGAUUACAGGUCACGAAAGACAAGGAGAGACUGAGGAACUGUUUCAGAAUAAAGGAGACUAACAAGAGAUGACAACUAAAUGUUGGAUACUGAACCAGACUGACUGUUCUGUGCCAUAAAGGACACAGUUACAGUAACUGGUGAGUUUCAGUGGGUCUCCGGAUUAGAUGGCAGUACUGCAUCGCUGUGAAUGUUGCUUUAGAUCCUGCACUGUCACUAUGUUGGAAAGCGUUUUCGUCAGGAAAUACUCAUUCAAGAAUUUAAGGUUAUGGGCAUCACAUCUGGAGUAAAUGGAGUAAAUUCCCAUGUGGCACACAAGUUGCAUGUGAGCACGCGCGCAUGUACCUAUGUGGACAAAUAUAGCUACAAAUAAACAGAAUAGAACACGUGAUACAGCAACAGGGGAACCUGGGUCAAGGCUGGCCAAGAGUUCUUUGUGUUAUUCUAACAAAUUUUCUCUAAGUUUGAAAUAAUUUAAAAAAAAAUUUUAAUAUUAAGGAAAACAAAUAGUUUCUUUCUGAUAAUAGAACAUAAAACUGCUAAUUAUCUGCUUAAACCAAUGAAAAACUGGUUGUAGCUGUGCGCCACACCCUAGUUCGGUAUCUCUUUACUCUUCAAAUUUGUUAAUCUUUUUUUUCCUUCUUCCCUUUCCUUCUUUCUUCUUGAUGCCUCAGGUUUAGUAGUGGCACUCAAAGGCAGUGUGUGCUGUUAACAGAGCUCUAGGUUUACUAGUCCUUAUGUCAAAAAUCAGAUAAUUUUAAAAGCCAGAUGAAAGAAAACAUUCUAUAAGUUCUAUUAUGCUCUGUAACACAUAGCACCAUGAAACCAGAAUAAUAUUAAGCUCUGUGAUAAAACUGUUGUUAAUUAAAGUAUUUCUAAUUACUUUAAAUGUCAGUUUAAUUCAAAAAUUAUGUUUUACUACUUUCUGUUCUACUGGAACAUAGUGGCAAAUAAACAGACGACUAAAAGACUCAAAGUAAGACUUAUUUUAUCUUUAAAUAAUGGUAACAGUUUACUAAAAAUGAAUACGAAAAAGGAAUUACACUACGGCAAAACUGGAAAUUAGAAAAAGCAAAGGAUAACUACUACUAAUAUUUUAACCAUAUAUAUUAUGUUUAACAUCAUACAUACAUAACAUACAUAUGAAAGACCACUUCUAUGAGGUGUUAAUGUAGCAUCUGAAAAACCUGGUGUGUCUAACAAUCCAAAUGAAUUAUCUGCCGCCUGAAUGUUUCUAAAACAGUUUAAUGGUAGAAUAAUA